UCGUGGAGCGAUUUGUCUGGUUUAUUCCGAUAACGAGCGAGACUCCAGCCUGCUAAAUAGUCCCUUGUUAACGCUUAAAGACAAGGCCGACUUCUUAGAGGGAUCAUCGGCGCUCAGCCGCACGACACGGAGCAAUAACA
rnacentral:rRNA from 1 species